rnacentral:rRNA from 1 species
UACGGAGGAUGCGAGCGUUAUCCGGAUUUAUUGGGUUUAAAGGGUGCGUAGGCGGAUCGUUAAGUCAGUGGUCAAAUUGAGGGGCUCAACCCCUUCCCGCCAUUGAAACUGGCGAUCUUGAGUGGAAGAGAAGUAUGCGGAAUGCGUGGUGUAGCGGUGAAAUGCAUAGAUAUCACGCAGAACCCCGAUUGCGAAGGCAGUAUGCCGGCUUCCGACUGACGCUGAAGCACGAAAGCGUGGGGAUCGAACAGG